rnacentral:tRNA from 5 species
GCGAGCAUAGUUCAACGGUAGAACAAUUAUUUACACGCUUCUCACAGAUCUCCCACCCUAUAUUUAUGCAGGUCCGACUCCUGCCGCUCACG